ACUAUGCGAUCUUUUUUCUUUACAUCGUGCAGAACGGACUUUAAAAUUUGCGACUCUCUGAUUGUUAUUAAUAGAUCAGAAGUUAAAAAUUCACCGUUUUAAACAUCUCUGUGGGAAUAGAAAAUAUGUUUCACAUCGUAACUUAUUUGCGUAAACUUUGCAAAUGUAUUUGUUAUGGUUUGGAAUGUUUCUUCAUUAAAACGGGUUUAAAAAUUAAAGUUUUCGAUGUUUUUGACGAAUCACGUUAAGCAAUAAAAAUGUUUGUGGUCUGAAAGUCGCGGGCUUCAAAAUUUGCUACAUUUUGAUUGGUUGAAAAGACCGGAACAGAUCAACUUCGCCGGGAAUAAGAACACGGGAGGGUAAAGGCCUACCGAUCGACAAGAGUAGCUAUUGAGCGAAUUUUACCAGUAUUGACCUCUCACAGACAGGUAUUAUGUUUGACUCUAAGGUCUACUGAUUUCAAUAUAUGCCUGUCACUCUAUCAUCAAGAAAACAGUCGUCAGCUUCACGAAAGCUAGGCCUGUGCAAGUCUAGUCUCAACGACAAUGCUGAUGUGCCGCCUGGGGUAUGUCACUAUGUACGUGCAUAAAUGUGUACUUUUAUGUGGGUUAAAGGUGAUUGAAAUAAUUUAUGCUUUGCCUACUUUGUCGGUUCGUGUCAGUGUCACAAUAUGCUGUUUAAUGCUGUAGAUCGCGAGGUUUCCAUACAUCAGGAAAUCUGGGACAAGUUACUUUGACAAAGGACUAGUAAAUAAUCUAUUUAACUAGUCCUGUGUACUACCAAGCAAAAAAAAGUAAGUGUCUAACCCUGGGAAAAUGAUUUGUGAACUGCUUUGAGACGACCUAGGAAAUAGGUUGUGAUGAAGCGGUAUAUACAUUUGUAAGAACCUCAAAUUAUUAUUAUAGGCAACUACCAAAGUUUCCCCCAGGUCUGUUACCACCCAGAAAUACACUCAUGCUAGCCCCUUCCAGGAGUCAUACAGGGCUAGGAUAUACAAUAUAGUAAUUAGUUCAGUGGUCAUCCAGGGCUAAGAUAUACAACAUAUAAAUAAGUGAACUAUAGGUUACAGGUUGAUUUUGAAAAAAUACAAACAAGCCCAACUUAUGUUUCAUAGUAAACAUCAACAUUUGUUUACUAGUUCGGGGCUUUGGGCUUGUCAAUUUAGGCAAAUAUGUAGAUUUUUCAUGAACCGAAAAAAAAUUGGACAUUGUUUACGUGAACUAGGCAAACAUAUGCGUUAUGGUUUGAAGUGUUUCUUCCUUAAAACGGGUUUAAAAAUUAAAGUUAUCGACGUUUUUGACGAAUCAUGUUUCGCAAUACAAAUAUUUGCGGUUUAAAAAUCGCGGGCUUCAAAAUUUGCCACAUUCUAAUUGGUUGAAAAAGACCGGAACAGGAAACUUCACUGGGAAGCCUGCAUGAUCAAUAUAAGAGUUUGGAGUGAAUUUUAACAGUUUUGACCUCAUCACAGACAAGUUUCAUGUUUGACUCUAAAAGGUCUACCAAUUUUGAUAUGUGUUUUUCACUCUUUCAACAAGAAAACAACUGUCGGCUUCACGAAAGAUAGGCCUGUGCAAGUCUAGUCACUUCAGUGCAAAGGAGAACCGAUCAGACGAAGAGAUUCUUUGUUUAUCAACGACAAUGCUGAUGAGCCCCCUGAGAUACAUGUAUGUACGCGCAUGUGUGGGUUAAAGGUCUGGUUUGGUAAGCAUGAAGUGUUAUGAAGUGCCAGUUUGCCAACCUGAUCACUGGUUUUUGACAGCAGACCGUCUACUUCAUUGAUACUCUGAAUAACUCCUGCAGUGAAGAGGCAUUUCCUGAACAAUGGAGCGACAUCCUCGAGACACAAUAACAGAAGCUUUCUAAAGACAUGCAAACCAUGAGAUGGAAACUUGCUUUGUAAUUCACUACCAGUGACUGGCAGUCCUGAAACAGAAUGUCCAACUUUUCUUGGCAAAUCCAGACCUACCAUCAGGAUGCAGUGUCAUGUAAGACACUGCAAGAGCUUUGUCUUUCUGGGAUUCCUAAGCCUUUGAAUGGAGAAAACAAGACAUUGCUGCAUAUAUGACGAUGAAAAUACCAUAUUGUUGGACAUUAAUUAAAAAGAGCAUUGACCAAUGACAUGUAUACCGUGGCUAGUGAUUGAUAAUUGUUGUGAUUUUUCUGAUUUGGCCAUACAGUCAGAAUGAAGGAAAGACAAAUAUCAUGGUUCAUGAACUUCAGAUACACUUUUAAGCUCCUCUGGUACAAACUGUCAUAAUCUUAUGGUAUAGUGAAGUGUCUGUCAUAAGUCUGUCUGUCAACUUUUUCUUUAAAUUACUUUUUUAAAUUGAAAAUCACAGGGCCCUUAUAUUUGGUCAGCAAGUACUUGGGAUAAAUACUUUAAAGUUUCAUCAUGUAGAUUACCUUGACCUUCUUUCAAGGUCACAGGUGUCCAAAACAGGCAUCAGUUUCUUAAAAACUGGUCUUGAGUCAUGAUAUUUCAUGAUGAUUAUAUUUUAUUCAGUAUUCCUUUGCAUUGCUUUGUUUAAAAAAUAUUUUUUUCAAAUUGUUCCAUCAAAUAUAUGUACAUGUAUGUAGAUAUAUGUAAUGACAGCAUACUUGUUGAUAACUUUGUCGUAGCGAUUGUUUUGUUAACUUUUAUGCAUAUUGAUAUUUUUUUAUGAAAUUAAAUCAUUGUUUAUCUUC